GGGUUUUCUUGGUCUCGGCAAUGACGGGAAGGAUACACGCAACUUUGCUCGUCAGGUCGCCAUGGCUGAUCGUCCGCCGCCGCAGAAGCCACAGGGACACACUCAGUCCUACUCCAUUGAUCCCCACUGGUACAUGGACUCUGGGGCGACAGAGCACCUGACCAGUGAGAUGGGGAAGCUUCACACUCGUGAACCCUACCAUGGCUCCGACAAGAUCCACACCGCCAAUGGAGCAGGUAUGCACAUCUCUCAUAUUGGUCAAGCAUCACUUCUCACUAGACAUGCCAAUAGGAGUCUUCAACUUCGCAAUGUUCUUCGAGUUCCAUCUAUGACAUGUAAUCUUCUUUCAGUUCCUAAACUCACUCGUGAUAAUAAUGUGCUUUGUGAAUUUCAUCCUUUUGAUCUUUUUAUUAAGGAUCGGGGCACGAGGGACAUUCUUCUUAGUGGGCGGCUCUGCCAAGGUCUCUAUCGUCUGGAGCAUCCUGGCGUCGCUCGCGUCUUUAGUGGAGUUCGGGUAUCUCCGUCACAGUGGCAUGCUCGUCUUGGUCACCCGGCCACACCUAUUGUCCGGCAUGUUUUGCGUCGUCAUGAGCUUCCUAGUGUGUCUAGUAAUAAAGAUGUAGCAGUGUGUGAUGCUUGUCAGCAGGGGAAGAGUCAUCAACUUCCUUUUUCGGAGUCCAGUCGUGAGGUGAAACAUCCUUUAAAACUUGUGUUUUCAGAUGUAUGGG
rnacentral:rRNA from 1 species